UGUUUUCCACGUGCUUUUUGCGUUUCCAUAAGAAAUUCAAACUCAAAUUAAGAUCCCUCCACCUGAAAGCCUAUCAUCCGCCAUGUCGGAGGUUGCUUCCGGCGGCGACAGAGCCCUAACGUCUAAACAAAAUACAUCACCUUCCUCAUCUCCUCACCCUGAGUCCAGAUACCACAUUCAUAUUCCCUAAUUCUUCCUCAUAAAGUCGAAUCUCAGUGACAUGCACAAGAACCCUAGGUUUUAGAAGUGAAAUUAAAUCUUGUAUUUAUUGAAUCAAAGCCCAAUAGGUUAAGGCUUUGAUUCCCCAAGCUUCCAUCUACAUUUCUGUAACACAUUGAAUGUGAAAUGAGGAAGAAAAGCUCACUUGUGAAGUUCUCCGAUGGUGGUUGUGACAGUGAGGAUGAAAGGAGGAUUAUGCAUAACCGAUGCCUUACCAUGAUGCAGUGCAGGAUGAUGCUUUCUUGUCAUAGUUAACUGUCAUGAGGAAAUGGAUGAAUGCAAGGAUGAUUGGUCUUAAAGGAACAAUGGAAUUAGGGUUUAGGGGAUGUAGAAAUGGUGACUUGACUUUGGUCAACUGGGUGACCAAAAAGUCAAUAGUUGACCAAAAGUCAACGUAUGCCAAAAAUGUAAUUUUAUAAUUUUCUCAUGAAUGUGUAUGGACAAUGUAACAAAUGGUCUUUAUGAAUGAAAUGCACAUUUUCAG